UCUACGGGUGGCAGCAGUGAGGAAUAUUGGUCAAUGGACGCAAGUCUGAACCAGCCAUGCCGCGUGCAGGAAGACGGCUCUAUGAGUUGUAAACUGCUUUUGUACGAGGGUAAAUCCCGAUACGUGUAUCUGGUUGAAAGUAUCGUACGAAUAAGGAUCGGCUAACUCCGUGCCAGCAGCCGCGGUAAUACGGAGGAUUCAAGCUUUAUCCGGCUUUCAUGUGUUUAAAGGGUGCGUAGGCUGUUCGAUAAGUUAGAGGUGAAAUCCAGGGGCUCACAUCCGGCACUGCCUCUGAGACUGUCGGGCUAGAGUUUAGUUGCGGUAGGCGGAAUGUAUGGUGUAGCGGUGAAAUGCAGAGAGAUCAUACAGAACACCGAUUGCGAAGGCAGCUUACCAAACUACGACUGACGUUGAGGCACGAAAGCGUGGGGAGCAAACAGGAUUAGAUACCCUUGUAGUC
rnacentral:rRNA from 1 species